rnacentral:lncRNA from 1 species
AAUACAGGCAGGGAUAUUAUAGUCAACAAAAGAUUUUACUAUUUCUUAUUAAAAAUAUUGGGACCAACAUGUUCAUUUUCUCAAACUAUGGAGAUGUAGUUGUCUUUUUCCUCUUUGCUAAUGGAGAAGAGCUUUUCGAGUCAGUAAAUUAAUAUUCAUUUACUACCAUAAAUAAUACAUCUAAAGCUGCAAUAAAUAGGAUCCAUAAAAGUUUUUUAAGGUAACAUAAUUUCCAUUAGUAACUCUUAAUUAUCUGCAGUUUUAAAUUAGAGGGUUAUGAACUCUGCACAAAACUCUGAUCUGAACUAAAAGCCAAAAUAUAUUUGACAUUAACUCUUAAAUUUACAACGGUUGGUGUUAAUUUGUGGUUAGCUAGCGUUCUAACGUAAACUUGAUUACGGUUACACUAAAUAACGUUGAGAGGGCCAUGGGGUGUGUAAUAUUUAGGCCCCUAUGAUUUUUCUAUUUUUAUAAUACAUUGCAUAAUCUUUUCCAUUUAUAUCAAACAGCCCCUUAAUCUAAUCCUUGGUGACUAUUUAAUAUAAUUUAUCUAAUAAGUA